rnacentral:lncRNA from 1 species
CCUCAAAGUCUUUCUUCAUAUUUCAGUUUUUACUCAACACGUUUUGCAGCAACUGAACUGAUAAAGAGAAGAGAAUCAUCAUAUUAAAACCACAAACACUUGUAUUAUUACAUUCUCAUGCAAGAACUCAAAAUAACAUAACAGAAUUGAAAGAUAUCCUUAAAUUAAAAGACUCAUGACUGAGUCGGUUGCCGAUUUGUGACUUGCCGGUUCGCCAAGCAAUAGCCAAACCUCUGCUACCUCUAGAUCAUUGCCUUGCUGUAGUUAGCAGCCAUUGACUGAGCUCAGACGAACUGUUGAGUUUUGGAGGAGGUUUUGAGACAAACCUCACUCCAUGUCCAUGCUUUUAAGUCCCAUGGAUUGGCUCUUCUUGCCAAUCUGUUUCCACACCCAUCAAGAUUUGGAGAAACUAAACUGAUAGGUUGCUCUAAUGAUAUGAUUUCCAAUCCAAUGGGCACUUAAAACAGACAGUGGAG